UUACAAAGUUACAAGGUGCUGCUGAUGCAAUAAAAAGUGACUCAACUUCAAGGACCCCAAUUCCUGCCAAGGAAAAUCAUGCUAGAGCACCGACUUCAGAAGGAAAACAGUCUUUGUUUCGUCCAACUUGUGGACCUAUCUCAGAAGGAAGACUGUCCAUGUUUUCUUCCACUGGAUCAAAACCCAGUACCCCUUUCCUUGUUAAUCCUGCUUAUCAGCAGCAAAACCUUCUGCCUAGGAAUUUUGCUGAGGCUCAAAAUAAGGCUUCAAAACAAGUUGAACUCAACUUGCCCCCAUCAAGCUAUCCACAUGAUGCUGAUGUUGCAGAAAAGCAUCUCCCUAAUAAUUCAGAAACAGCAACUCCCAAGUCAAGGGAGAUGCCAAGGACAGUGGCUCUUGUACAGCCAGUGCCUUCUAAGCAGCCAGAUAAUAGUGGAGUUGGUUCUGGUGGGUUACCUAAUGGAAAAGUCGCUAGUUCGUUGAAUAGUAGAUCUUCUGAUGGUGUUUCCAAUCAAGUGGCCCGAACACCAACAUUCUUUGCUCAGGGACAUGAACAUGUUCUUAAUGAUCCAGUUGAAGCGAUGAGAAUA
rnacentral:misc_RNA from 1 species